CCAGGACGACGAUCGAGCACCUUUUCGUGGUGUCCUGGAUAAGUAAGCCGAGAUGGCUGAAACUAAGACUCGA
rnacentral:ribozyme from 1 species